rnacentral:rRNA from 1 species
CUGGCGGCGUGCCUAACACAUGCAAGUCGAGCGAGGAGAUCCUCGGGAUGAUCCUAGCGGCGGACGGGUGAGUAACACGUGGGCAACCUGCCUCAUAGAGAGGAAUAGCCUUCCGAAAGGGAGAUUAAUACCUCAUAACAUUGCAGUUUCGCAUGAAACAGCAAUUAAAGGAGCAAUCCGCUAUGAGAUGGGCCCGCGGCGCAUUAGCUAGUUGGUGAGGUAACGGCUCACCAAGGCGACGAUGCGUAGCCGACCUGAGAGGGUGAUCGGCCACAUUGGGACUGAGACACGGCCCAGACUCCUACGGGAGGCAGCAGUGGGGAAUAUUGCACAAUGGGGGAAACCCUGAUGCAAGCAACGCCGCGUGAGUGAUGACGGCCUUCGGGUUGUAAAGCUCUGUCUUCAGGGACGAUAAUGACGGUACCUGAGGAGGAAGCCACGGCUAACUACGUGCCAGCCGCUGC